AGCAGCCGCGGUAAUUCCAGCUCCAAUAGCGUAUAUUAAAGUUGUUGCAGUUAAAAAGCUCGUAGUUGAAUUUCGGGAUCAAUAUAUCGGUCGUGCCUCCGGUAUGCACUGGUAUUAUUGAUUUCUACCUUCUGACGAAUCAUGAUGUCAUUAAUUUGGUGUCAUGGGGAAUCAGGACUGUUACUUUGAAAAAUUAGAGUGUUUAAAGCAGGCACACGCUUGAAUACAUUAGCAUGGAAUAAUGAAAUAGGACGUUUGACCCUAUUUUGUUGGUUUCUAGGAUCGACGUAAUGAUUAAUAGGGAUAGUUGGGGGCAUUAGUAUUCAAUUGUCAGAGGUGAAAUUCUUGGAUUUAUUGAAGACUAACUACUGCGAAAGCAUUUGCCAAGGAUGUUUUCAUUAAUCAAGAACGAAAGUUAGGGGAUCGAAGACGAUCAGAUACCGUCGUAGUCUUAACCAUAAACUAUGCCGACUAGGGAUCGGAUGAUGUUAAUUUUUAAUGA
rnacentral:rRNA from 1 species